AUUGAACGCUGGCGGCAGGCUUAACACAUGCAAGUCGAGCGGGGUGAUGGUGCUUGCACUAUCACUUAGCGGCGGACGGGUGAGUAAUGCUUAGGAAUCUGCCUAUUAGUGGGGGACAACAUUUCGAAAGGAAUGCUAAUACCGCAUACGUCCUACGGGAGAAAGCAGGGGAUCUUCGGACCUUGCGCUAAUAGAUGAGCCUAAGUCGGAUUAGCUAGUUGGUGGGGUAAAGGCCCACCAAGGCGACGAUCUGUAGCGGGUCUGAGAGGAUGAUCCGCCACACUGGGACUGAGACACGGCCCAGACUCCUACGGGAGGCAGCAGUGGGGAAUAUUGGACAAUGGGCGGAAGCCUGAUCCAGCCAUGCCGCGUGUGUGAAGAAGGCCUUAUGGUUGUAAAGCACUUUAAGCGAGGAGGAGGCUACUUUAGUUAAUACCUAGAGAUAGCGGACGUUACUCGCAGAAUAAGCACCGGCUAACUCUGUGCCAGCCGCCGCGGUAAAAC
rnacentral:rRNA from 1 species